UUCGAGAAAGAAAACAAAUAUCUUCUUAUCGGUGUUAUGAAACCUUACUGAUUUCCUUGUAAUAAUCUAUGAAUAAGCCCCACAUGCAUCUCUACGUCCUAUUAUUUCUCUUUAUCUUUAUUUCAUAAUCCUUAAUUUCAUCUCUCCUUGCUAGUUCUGAAAUUGACUUCGCAUCAGCCAACAUUUGUCUGUUUAUUCUUUCUCUUAACACGUAAAUCCUCAGGUUCAGAAUGAUGAUACUAGCUAGUGCUUAUGGUAUGACUUAUGAUCCACUGAUUUAGAUAUGUAAAACUUAAAUGUUCUUGCAAGUACUUAUGAAGCGAAUCCAUCAUUCUUUGCAGUGCCAAAAUUUCUUACAUAUUCAUCUUUGGGAGAAAGAUCAAGGCAUAUAGUGGGCUACUUCUGCAAAAGGAGGGAAGCAACAUAUUGCAUUUAAAGUGAAGCUUCCUCUAUGAUAUGGAGAUGCAAUCAUCCAUCUAAAGACAAGUUCCUGCUUAGCUUGGGAAAUCCAAAGAAGAAUGUUGCCCUUGCUACACUCCAGAGUACUGACCUAUAAUAUAAAACAAAAAACUAUGGGUGUUGACUUGGUACUCCCUCCGGGAGUAACUGUUUCUUGGUUGACAUAACCACUAAAACAAAAUUAUUAGUCAUAUAGUAAGAUUAACUAUCACAUGUCCUCCAACCUUUAUAUGUUGCUCUUUUGUUUAAAUUUUACUUCCCUGUUAAUUGAUUUUCUUUGAUGGUACCUUGCUAUUCUCAUUUCUUUGUU